rnacentral:rRNA from 1 species
UACGAAGGGGGCUAGCGUUGCUCGGAAUCACUGGGCGUAAAGCGCACGUAGGCGGAUUGCUAAGUCAGGGGUGAAAUCCUGGAGCUCAACUCCAGAACUGCCCCUUGAUACUGGCGGUCUCGAGUCCGGGAGAGGUGAGUGGAACUGCGAGUGUAGAGGUGAAAUUCGUAGAUAUUAGGAAGAACACCAGUGGCGAAGGCGGCUCACUGGCCCGGUACUGACGCUGAGGCGCGAAAGCGUGGGGAGCAAACAGG